rnacentral:rRNA from 1 species
UACGUAGGGUGCGAGCGUUGUCCGGAAUUAUUGGGCGUAAAGAGCUCGUAGGCGGUCUGUCGCGUCGGUCGUGAAAACUUGGGGCUUAACCCUGAGCUUGCGGUCGAUACGGGCAUGGACUGGAGUUCGGCAGGGGAGACUGGAAUUCCUGGUGUAGCGGUGAAAUGCGCAGAUAUCAGGAGGAACACCGGUGGCGAAGGCGGGUCUCUGGGCCGAUACUGACGCUGAGGAGCGAAAAGCGUGGGGAGCGAACAGG